rnacentral:misc_RNA from 1 species
GCCCCGACAUAAUGAUAGGUGGAAUAAAAAAUUGUCAUGUCAAUGUCAAUUUUCAUUGCGAAAUGGAAUUAUUAAAAAGACUGAGAAGAACGCGUAUUUAUUAUUAAUUUUGUCUUACUUUUCUCUAGAUUUAAUUUACUUAGUUUAUUUUAUCACAUGAAUAUCGAAAAUGGAUUCGAGUUUACCAUUUUUUAGUCUUCCAUUCGGGGAUUCGGAGACUACGGACUUUUUCUCGAAGCCUCAGGAGUGUGGGUACGAUGAGCUGCAGGCUACGUUACCGCCUCACGGAUCGCUGUUGGGGCCUGAUGACGUUCUGGCGCAGUUCCUGUCUGGUGACGAGCCGUUAGAAGAGCCUGACCUCAAUGGGCCCACUACAUUGCACUGUGAAAUUUGUAAGAAGCAGUUUGACAAUGCUAAGAAGUAUUACGGACACUUGAGGGUACAUUCCAAGGAGAACUCGUGGAUUUGUGACAAAUGUCCAGACCAGAAGUUCUCGACUAAACAGCAGUUGAUGAAGCAUGGGCUUACUCACAAGCCGCUGGAGAGAGAGUGGAAAUGCCUCCAGUGCAGCAUGGCAUUCGAGGCCCUGUGGAAUCUGCAGCAGCACCUGUUCUCUAAGCAUUUGGAUUAUAAACCUCACAAAUGUGACCAGUGUGAGAAAAGCUUCACCAAACCUUCAGACUUAAAGAAACAUAAGGACAACAUGCACAGUGAUGUAAAGAAAUACGGUUGUCCAGAAUGCGAGCAUCGUUUCAAAGACCAGUCGAACUUGAAGCGCCACAUGCUGACCCACAGCAAAGAGAAGCCCUACUGCUGUUCCGGAUGCGGGAAUAGGUUCCAACAGUUAGCGUCAAUGAAACGCCACGCUGCCAACUGUCAGCUGAGCAGACACACCGUGGAGCCGACAGACAAGACGCGCAGGAACUACUGCCGAGUCUGCGGCAUGAGCUUCCAGUACAAGAGUGCUCUACUAGAGCACUGUGUCAGACAACACACAAUCGCUCCCCCCAAGCCGCCUGAAGUCGACAAAGAAGAUAAGAACCAUCUAAACGACACAAAUCGCAUCGUAGACAACAUAGUCGAUGACAUUCUGUCUGCCGAAGACGACUAUAUGACUAUGACCACACAAAACGAGAUACUAAACGUAUACAACCCUACUGAUAUAGACAAUAACCCAGAAAACUUAAUGCAGAUAGAACUAUUAAAAGAAAUGAAUCAACUACACAUACUCGACGGAGAAUUAUUCUACAAUGAUAUAGAUUUCGAUAGCAUACAACCCAGCCAUAUGUUCAAUACAAACACUAACGAUAUGGACUAUGGUACCGAUAAAAACGCUGAAAUUCUCUUCGAUUUUACCGACGGCAGCAAAAGUAUGGACCAGGAAAUUAUGAAUACACUAUUUCAUGUCAAAGCUGAGUAUUUGCCCGAUGAGUUACUAAAUCCUCCUGAAGUUAUGAAUAUGCCUGAAAAAAGUAAUAUUUUAGAUAAUCAUGUGUCUGUGAAUGAAUGUGCUACAAUAUUUGAAAGUGAUGUGGAUUUAGAAGCCAGUACGAAUUUAGCAGCUAAUUUAAAUCAGUUGAUUGGUGAAAAUAAUGUUCAGUAUAUAUCUACUGAGGACGAUGAUACAUUUAUAAUAAGUUUAAAUAGUGAAAUUGAUGCUGAGCAGUUAACUGACAUGUUGAAUAUAGGUGUAGAAUUAGUUAAUGAUAAAAUUAAGGAACAAAAUAUUAUUCCUUCUUCUGAAAUUAGAAAUGAGGUUCCUAGCAUAAAGGCUGAAGUUCCAGAGCCUAUCAUAGACAAUCCAGGAGAGCUGAUAUUUCCUAAGCCAGUAGUAGUGAAACUGGAAGAACCAGUAACUGAGAUGCCCAUGAAUUCGAUGGCUUCUGAAGAUCAGAAGACUAUGAAAUAUCACAAGCCAGUAGUGGUAAAAUUAGAAGAGCCACUAAGUGAAGUGCCGAUGAAUGUAAUGGCUCCUGACAAUCAGAAGAAGACAGUGAAAGCUAAGCCUAUUAAAAGAGUCUUAUAUGUUUGCGUACAUUGUAAUAAGGUUUUCAAUAAGAAGGAUAAUUAUAGAUCUCAUAUAGCAACUCACGAGCCAUCUCUCCGGCAACACAAAUGCAAGGUCUGCGGCGAGAAGUUCAGCUACAAGUCUACACUAAACAAGCACACUCGCGACAAACACACGCCGAGUGUAAUCUGUGGACAUUGCUGUCAGAUAUGUGAUCGCGUCUUCCGAUUUGCUUGGAUGCUUCGUGAACACCUGGACCGUGACCACGACGGUCUGAAGCCGCACGCGUGUGACUACAAAGACUGUCAGAAAAGGUUCUACAAGAAGUCAGACCUUAUUGUACAUAAAAGGUAUUUCUUUUUUAUCUAGCUUCGUCUUUUGUUUGUACCGAAUCCUUUUUUUAAAUUCCGAUUUCCCAAGUUACUAGAAGACAAAUAAAAAACUGGUUGUAUUUCUAGUUUAAUAUAAGCCGUUAUUAAACUGACUUUCCAAAACGAACGCAAAUCUUUUAGUUGGAGGAUAAAUAAGCUUAUGAUAGGCGCAUUCGCCUGCAGCUUAAAAAGUCUUGACAGAAGAUUAUUAAUUAUUUUAUACUACCCUCCUUAAUUAAAUUUAUUCCUCCAUCGUAUCUACAACAAACGUAUUUA